GUCAGUAUACAUACAUGGAAAGAGUGCGUUGGCAGUGCACAUACACUUCUGCCUGUUUGCGCACACCUGCGUGCACACACACGCAGUAUGCACCUGCAGGCACGCUGUACCCUAUGUGCUACAGGUGCACUGCGUGUAUACACCUACACAUGCAGAUGCGUGUGCAUGCAUGUACGUACACACACACGUGCAUGCAUGUACGUGGCUGCAUGGGCUCACACACCGAGUGAGUGAGUAGGGGUGGGAGUCAGUCUACUAUUUUUCAUAAUGAAAAAAUGACUGAAAUUAGUUGUGAAAAGCAGGUGCCACAAAACUCAGGCCAGUUGCAGACGGGCGCCUGGAGCCGAAACAGGCUGAGAAACCCCCGUACUAGGUACAGGAAGCCACGAUGAUCGCUUUCUCGACAGCAUCUUCAGUAGCAACUGGGUAUAUUUUUCAUGCCUGUUAAUGGGGACUGAUUUCAGACAUGCUCCAGUGAAGACAUUAAGUAGGACUGAAAUUGUCUCCUUGUUUCAUUCAGCGUAGGCCUAAAGGCCUCAAGUUGCAGUUAGUUCGUUACUGAACAAACUGCCGGUUUUCAGGGAGUCUCCAGCGCUCGACGCUCCUCACCUCCCGCUCCAGCGCUCGGCGCUGUCUCCCCCGGGCACUGACGCUCCUGGUUAUGCCUCUGGCUUUGCUUACACAAAAAGUGGAACCAGUUUAACUCUGGUUUACUCAAUGUGGUCAAUUUAAGCAGUGCACACCAAUUCACAGGUGGUUUUCUUGGUGUAGCUUGUGUUGAUAACUUUAAAACCAAUUUUAUUUAAAUAGGCACAAUAUCUGGCUAGGUGAGGCCUGAAACUUUAUUUCCCACACCCUUUGCAUGGUCAUGCAUGCCCAUAGGAAAAGAAAGGAGAAAGUGCUUGAUGAAGUUAUGGAACCACUUUGAUUCCAGUUAAUUUACUACAUAUCCGCUCCCUGACAUAGGAAGUUGCUUGGCUUCCCUUUCUAAUAGGAUCUAUUCAUUUAGCAAUAGCAGUUGUAAUCAUGUUUUAAAAAUACUGACAGUAAAAUCUGAUUUCACAUGCUCCUGCAUUUUGGGGGAGGGGAAAAAUCUUGACUAGAAACUCUCACUUCUUGAAUGAAACUUCCCAUGCUUCAAACUAAACAGAAUUAUUGAAAAUUAGGGUUGGAAGGGACCUCAGGAGGUCACCUAGUCUAAUGCCCUGCUUGAAGCAGGACUACCCCAACUAUAUCACCCCACCAAGGCUUUUAAAAUUUCCAAGUGAACAUAAGUAAUAGGUUUAGUUGCCAAAAAUGAGUCCAGUAAUGCAGUUAUUUUAGUACCGUAGUGUAUAUGAAUCAUUCUGUUCCUGUUAACCUGAACGUGUAGGAAGAAUUAUAUUUGUCAAUCUUCUUUUGUUCAACAGAAACCAAAAGACUUAUCUAGGCAGAGUUGUGGUGGGGGAUAUUUAUUCUAGUUUUUGCUAUAAUUUUAAAUCUUCCAAUUUGAAUGUUGUAUCACUGGGAUUUUUACCUUUAAAUGGGUAAAGUAGUGUCAUGAAAUACUGUAUGAUGCACACCCAAAGAGAAGGUACAAUGUAUUUUAAGGUUGGGAAAUUAUAUUAGAGCAAAUAGGAGCAAAAGUGCCUAGCCAAACCAAUAAUUACCCUUCCAUGAAUACCAGGUUCUGUUUCUCACCUGUCUAAACUCUUUCCUCUGGUGAGAUAGUAUCAUCUUUUUACAUUAAUCUUAGGGUUUAGUAUGGGAUAGUUUUAAAAUUGCUCUUCUGUGUAAAGUUAAGACUAACAGUCCUGAUUUCCUCAAUGCUGAAAAAAGCCCCUCUUUUUCCUGAUUUACAUACUUAGAAACAUGUUUCUGUUUUAACACUGAUUGAUGGAGGUUGGGUGUUUUGCUUUUGUUUUGGCGAGUCUCUGCUCUUACAUUGGUAUGUGGUAUCAUAACUGAUAGGUGAUUUCCCUUGCGGAGUGGGGGGCGGGGUUCCAAAGAGGAAAUCAUCCACUACGAAUGCUUUGGGCUUGAUUCAGUACUCUGUAAAGUCAGUGAAAAGACUCCCAUUCAUCUCAGUGUCAAUUGGAUUGGAUCCUUAAAAUGGCUUUUCUUGGGGAAACAAGAAAGAUUAAAAAUAGAUUUAAAAAAAAUAAAAAACAAGACGGAUUAAAAAUAGAAUGAAAAGUUUUGACUUUUAAGCUGCUAGUUCAGGUCUAGUAAAGGCUGGUAGGGAAUAAAAGUCGUAACUGUUUGGGAACCUUUUGGCCUUUUUGAAGAUAGGCUAGUAUGAUUUGUGGUGGAAAAACAUCAAACCCUGCUUUCCAGCUUUUCUUGUGCUGUUUUCAAGGUUGCUUUGAAGACUGUUUGUUGGCUCUGUUAGUAUCUUUGGAAAUGGUGAUUUGUAUUGGACAUGGAACUUCUGUAACUCUUGGAAAGGAUUUCUAAAUGUAUUGUCUACAGAACUAACCGUGGGUAUUUUUAGAGUCCAAAAUGUGAACUCAUUCACUAAUUGAGAAAUUAACUUUUUUUUCUUCUUCUUUCAGCGCUACGACUUGUUGUGAAGCAUUUACAGCUGCUCCACUUAUGCAUAUUUUCAAACAGGCAGGAUCUUUUGAAAACGAUACCUAAUGUUAUAUUAUUAAAAUGGCUAUCCAUACAAGGCAGAGUGUAAAAAUGAAAAUGCUGACAGGUUCAAGCAGGACAGUUUCAGGAAAGUAUGACUUGAGAGAGGCAGCCAGACAGACAAUCCAAAUGCUUCAGUUGGCAGGAUGAAGUGAUAUGCUAAUGUAAGAGAAAAGAGCCCUUGCUUUCUGUAAGUGCCUUGGUUGCAUCCCAAGAAGGAAAGCUGCUGCGUCAUUGAACCAGUUCGUCUCCAGCGUGCCAUCCUGCCCAGAUUUCUUCCAAGGAAGGAGUAGUGGAUGUGAUCUCUGCAAAAAGAAAGCUUGUCUGGUUGAUCCUGACGGUAAAACAAGCGUACCCGUUAAGAUGACUGCGGGGAAAGUAUCCUGUUUUCAUCUACGCUGCCUGGUGAGUUCCACGAUUUACAUUUGAAAAGUACCUCUUACAGCACAUGUCCUUAGAGCUGAUUUUUUCUAUUAUAUGAUAAGCUUCUCAUGGCUUUUCCCUCCCCCGAUACGUGUGAAGUGGGUCUAGACUUUUGGGGAGAUCGCAUGUUUUUCUGUCGGAAAACCACAGGGCGGGUCAGCACUGCUACUUAGGACGCCGUAACGUGCGACUUCUCGGAGCGUGUGACAAAGCGUUCCCGUUGACGUUACAUGGUAUUUAGUAUUGCCAGCCCCACAACCAUUGCUAGUUGUGUCAUUGCAUUGCUGCUGCGGCUGUUGCAUUGGUUAGCAGCAGCCCCUGAACUGAGAAGCUCCACACGUCUUCAAGGCUCCCAGGAGGCAGUUUCCGGACUGGUGUUAUCACCGACCGACCGUGCUGGGCAUGGCUUAUGGCGCUAGCAGUGCCGCGGUGCUUGCAGCGGGCAUGCUGACAGCCUCUUAUCCCACGGAGAGCUCCUGACAGUCGGUCCGUUCCCGCUGGGGAUUUAACAAGGCCUUGGUUGGCAGCGCCUUCCAAGACGGGCAGUUUUCCUGUGCGGGGACAGCCUCCCGCGUCCAUCCCGCGUCUCCCUGGACGGAGCAGGGCCGGGCAGAAGCCACGCGCUGCGGUUCGGAGGAGAGCAGUGCCGGGGCAGGGUUCAAGUCA